UAUAUAUAUAUAUAUAUAUAUUUUACAAAAUGGGGAAAAAAGAAGAAUUCUUAAAACGGUGAAUCUACUGGUCUAUCUACUUCCCAUUACUUGAGUCGUCCUGACCGCGUCACCUCCUUCUAGAGAACCACAAAGUCAUCCCAGCCCAGUUGUAUUCCAAGUUUCAUCUUGACACUUCUCCCUCUUUAUACCAUGGAGGAUUUAUCUUCACGCCAUUAUUGAUAACGAUUAUAACGUGCCUCUUUAUAGAACGAUAGGAAUUAUUUGCGAAGACAACAAAGGUGGCAUAUAUGUACAUACAUACAUACAUAUGUCAAUAUUUUAAAUAUAUUAUAUACAGGAUAUUUCUUGUUAUAUACAUAUAUAUAUGUACAUCCGAUGUGUAUGUACAUCCGAUGGAAAUGAAGAUAACUCAAAUGUCACUGUUGUAAACUGUUACACGUCUAACGUUCAUGAAGAUCCGUUACACUUGACUCCACUUUUCAUUGGCUUCCUAUCCGUAUUCUUCUUCUACAUACAUAGAACGAAUUUAACUUGGACGACAGGCAGGUGACGAGUCAAAUUACGGAAGUCAUUGAAGCACUGUGGUUAUGAACGUACAAGUUAUACGUCUCUUGAAAGAGAAAGAGGCAGAGAGAGAGAGAGAGAGAGAGAGAGAGAGAGAGAGAGAGAGAGAGAGAGAGAGAGAAAGGGAAGAAAUGGAAGACGAGCCACAACCACAUCCGUCGUUACAGCCGGCUUUACAUUUUCUUUGGAAUACACGAGAUUUCUUUUGAUAUUCACCCUUUUCCUUAUUCUCUCAUCUUCAUGAAGAAAACAAAAUACCGAUUUUAUCCUCGUUAUGGAUAUCUCCUACUAUAAUAAUAAUAAUAAUAAUAAUAAUAAUAAUAAUAAUAGUAAUAAUAAAAUUAAAUUUUUUGAAGAUUUGAAGAAAGCAAAAUUGAUUGACUUAUAUGUAGAGUAUCUGAAUUUCGUUUAUUUCAAUAAUAAUUGAUUUAAGAGACUAUUUUUGAAAUGUGAUAAAAAUGACGAAAACACAAUGUGUAAUGUACUACUGCGAGGAUGAGGCAUAAUAGAAGAUGAAGAAGAAGAUGAAGAAGAAACAAGAAAAAAAUGACAAAACAAAAAAGAAAUAAACGAAGAAGUUGGACCAAAGUUUCAAUCGGAUAAGGUCCCCGAUCGGUGUAUGUAUCUGCUUCUUGCUUGCUUGCUUGCUUGCUAGCUCUACGUCCCUCGAUCGAACUUGAAGUCGAACUCGUUCUCGACAAGAGAGUAACAUGAAGAUGCGAAGUAACCGGUGCUUCUUCGAUACGUUUGCAUUGAAGAAAUAUAAAAAGAAAAAGAAGAAAAAAAAAAAAAAAAGAAAAGAAACAAAAAACGAAAAUGAAAACGAAAACGAAAACGAAUAAGAAGAAGGUGGACCAGAAAGAUAACUGAGAAAAUGAUCGACGAAGAGAUUAAAUAAAGAAAAAAAAUAAAUAAAUAAAUAAAUAAAGAUACAGUAGAUGAUAGUAAAGAAUCGUCGUUAGAGAAUGGAAUCUCCUUGAGAUGACCUUGAAAAAAAGUGGCGAACAUUGUUCAAACAGUGUGAUGAAAAAUUUUAUGAGACAAAAUUGAAACUCAAUGUACGGAAAUGUCGAUUAAAAAUCAAUACAUGUCGAUAAGUUCAUC